UACGUAGGGUGCAAGCGUUGUCCGGAAUUAUUGGGCGUAAAGAGCUCGUAGGCGGUCUGUCGCGUCGGCUGUGAAAACUCGGGGCUCAACCCCGAGCCUGCAGUCGAUACGGGCAGACUAGAGUGCUGUAGGGGAGACUGGAAUUCCUGGUGUAGCGGUGAAAUGCGCAGAUAUCAGGAGGAACACCGGUGGCGAAGGCGGGACUCUGGGCCGAUACUGACGCUGAGGCGCGAAAGCUAGGGGAGCAAACAGG
rnacentral:rRNA from 1 species